CACAGAUUAGUACAUGAAGUGCGCGCUAUAGUUCGGUGCUAGCUGAACUGUCAAGCUACACUUGGCCGCAAGACAGUCAAAACAAACUAGAAAAACAAAAUGAAUCCUUCUUUCUAUCCUUUAUUCACAGAGUACGGUUAUAACGAAACUUUCUUUCACGUUCACGUAGAAAAGAGAACUACACGAUCACGAAUCACGCAUUACGAAAAUCAUCGAUCACGCACGUUUCACUGCAAAGUAAAAUUUCAAAUUGAUGUCGAGCAACUUAAAUAUG